GACAACAUCCAAUCCCUGAACUUAGAGUCAGACAGUGGACCAGGAUUAGCGGGUAACACCCCGGAACCGGAACUUCCAAAAUUGGAAAUUCCUCGGCCCCUGGAUCCCAGAUCGAGUAGGGGUUUGGAUUCAAUUCCACCCACCCACCCAAACACAAGCGAUCUUUCCCAUAUCAGGCAAGAGCCCCAGGAAACAAUACAUCAUUACUGGGCCAGAUUCCUCCUUGCGAUGAACAAGGUUAAGGACUGUCGCAAGGAAGACGCAAUCUUAUUUUUCUGCAAUAAUUGCACGGACAAGGGAAUCCUUAACACCAUAAAUCCCCGUGAGAUAACACGCUUCGCUAACUUGGCAUCCAUAGUAUGA
rnacentral:rRNA from 1 species